rnacentral:rRNA from 1 species
GUCUACGGCCAUACCACCCUGAACGCACCCGAUCUCGUCUGAUCUCGGAAGCUAAGCAGGGUCGGGCCUGGUUAGUACUUGGAUGGGAGAUUGCAAAUCCUCUUCAUGUCAACCUUGAGUUUCUGACU